GAUGAACGCUGGCUACAGGCUUAACACAUGCAAGUCGAGCGGAAACGCCGGGGCAGCUUGCUUCCCCGGGCGUCGACCGGCGCACGGGUGAGUAACGCGUAUUCAACCUGCCUCUGACUGAGGGAUAACCCGUCGAAAGUCGGCCUAAUACCUCAUUGCAUCGUCUGCCGGCAUCCGACGACGAUUAAAGUUUUCAUCGGUCAGAGGUGGGGAUGCGUCUGUUUAGCUUGUUGGCGGGGUAACGGCCCACCCAGGCGACGAUCGGGCGGGGUUCUGAGGGGAAGGUCCCCCACAGUGGAACUGAGACACGGUACACACUCAUACGGGAGGGAGCAGUGAGGAAUAUUAGUCAGUGGGCGAGAGCCUGACCCAGACAAGUAGCGUGCAGGAGGACCGCCCUAGGUGUUAUAAACUGCUGUUAUGCGGGGAUGAAGUGAGGGAUUGGUCCUUGAUUGAAGGUAGCGGAUGAAGAAGGGCCGGCUAAUUCCGUG
rnacentral:rRNA from 1 species